GGCGUGGAUAAGACAUGCAAGUCGAACGCUGACCAAAAGGUAGCAAUAUCAUUUGGUCGGAGUGGCGCAAGGGUGCGUAACACGUGGGCAAUCUGCCGCGAAGACCGGAAUAACCUGCUGAAAGGCGGGCUAAUGCCGGAUGUGCUUUUCCAGGGGAUUCUUUGGGUAAGCAAAGUCGGGGACCGUAAGGCCUGACGCUUCGCGAUGAGCCCGCGGCCUAUCAGCUAGUUGGCGGGGUAACGGCCCACCAAGGCAAAGACGGGUAGCUGGUCUGAGAGGACGACCAGCCACACUGGAACUGAGACACGGUCCAGACACCUACGGGUGGCAGCAGUCGAGAAUUUUUCACAAUGGGCGAAAGCCUGAUGGAGCGACGCCGCGUGGGGGAUGAAGGGCUUCGGCUCGUAAACCCCUGUCAUUCGAGAACAAACCCCAUGAUCUAACUAGUCGUGGGCUGAUAGUAUCGGAAGAGGAAGGGACGGCUAACUCUGUGCCAGCAGCCGCGGUAAUACAGAGGUCCCAAGCGUUGUUCGGAUUUACUGGGCGUAAAGGGUGCGUAGGCGGCGAGGAAAGUUUGAGGUGAAAUCUCCAGGCUCAACUUGGAAAUUGCCUUGAAGACUUCCUUGCUCGAGGGUCGUAGAGGAGACUGGAAUUCUCGGUGUAGCAGUG
rnacentral:rRNA from 1 species